ACGUAGGGUGCGAGCGUUAAUCGGAAUUACUGGGCGUAAAGCGUGCGCAGGCGGUUUUAUAAGCCAGAUGUGAAAGCCCCGGGCUCAACCUGGGAAUGGCAUUUGGGACUGUAAAGCUGGAGUAUGGCAGAGGAGACUGGAAUUCCUGGUGUAGCAGUGAAAUGCGUAGAUAUCAGGAGGAAUACCGAUGGCGAAGGCAGGUCUCUGGGCCAAUACUGACGCUCAUGCACGAAAGCGUGGGGAGCAAACAGGAUUAGAUACCCUGGUAGUCCACGCCCUAAACGAUGUCAACUGGUUGUUGGGAGAUUUAUUCUCUUAGUAACGAAGCUAACGCGUGAAGUUGACCGCCUGGGGAGUACGGUCGCAAGAUUA
rnacentral:rRNA from 1 species